rnacentral:lncRNA from 1 species
GAAGAAAGGAUCUACGCGCCUUCGAGUGACCUAUACAGUUGAUAAACUGAAUAAAAUGCUCACAAAGAUCAUGAGGAUCAACACCUAACACGCCAAUCCAUGCCCAGAUAUGCUGCCAAACUACGCCAAAAGUAGCACAAUGGAGAAACAAGUGAUUUGUUGAUUCUUCAAUACCGCAUCCAGCCGCGCACCCAGCUGCCUCGACUUCCAGACACCCACGCCUCAUGAGAUUGGCUUUAGUUGGAAGCCUAUCCCGUAACAAAUGCCAAGCAAGAAUGGAAACCUUCAAAGGAACCUGCUUAUGCCAGACAAGGUCUCCGACACCAACAAUUGGAGGAUCGGCCAUAGUAGUUAAAAUUUGAUAGGCCCCACGCACUGUGUAAACAUCAUCAUUGUUGGAAUCCCAAAGCCACCUGUCAGAAAUAUCAGACUACACCGUUAAAUAAUUGCCUACAGUGCUCUACCAACUCCUCCUCCCACACUCACAAAGGUCUCCUCCAGUUCCACGCCCCUCCUUCAUUCUCCCACCCAAGGGCAUACAACUGCCACCGUACUCAGCUUGUUAGUCGCUAAGUCAAAUAAACGACUAAA